rnacentral:hammerhead_ribozyme from 1 species
AUCCAUCCGAUGAGUCCCAAAAUGGGAUGAAAUGUGCAUCCUGGAU